UUGUAGUUAGUGCUUUUACUACCUUGAAAUUAUCUGUAUUUUCAUGAUUUUCAUCAAAGACAAAUGCAUUAGUUUUGGCCGAAGAUUUAUUAUUAUUCUUUUUUUGUUUCUUUCCUUUGAUCAAGGAGUUUAUUGACAAAGAAAAAUUAUCUAGGUCAUUCAUGAUCAGCAUAGAACUUCUCGGCAUAAUAUCUAGGUCGAUUUUUGUUUAUUUAUUUUUCUCCUACUUGUCACCAUGGAAACUGCUCCAAUAAGGCAAAAGGAACUUGAAACAAUUCUACAUGAACUAAAUACAAUCAAACCAAAUGCUAAAGUUUAUAGACAACUUCCCAAUUCAAAUAUAUUCUUCAGAGCUAAAGUAGACACAAUAAAAUCAGAAACCCAUAAUGAGUUGGAUAAACUACUCAAGAAAGAAGACAAAUGAUACUUUCAUAACAAUUUUAUGAUGUAUAUAUUUUUGCAUUGUUACAAAUAAAGACAUCAUCUUUUUAUAAAA
rnacentral:misc_RNA from 1 species